GAUGAACGCUGGCUACAGGCUUAACACAUGCAAGUCGAGGGGAAACGACGGGGAAGCUUGCUUCCCCGGGCGUCGACCGGCGCACGGGUGAGUAACGCGUAUCCAACCUGCCUCUGACUGAGGGAUAACCCGUCGAAAGUCGGCCUAAUACCUCAUGGCAUCGUCUGCGGGCAUCCAACGACGAUUAAAGAUUUCAUCGGUCAGAGAUGGGGAUGCGUCUGAUUAGCUUGUUGGCGGGGUAACGGCCCACCAAGGCGACGAUCAGUAGGGGUUCUGAGAGGAAGGUCCCCCAAAUUGGAACUGAGACACGGUCCAAACUCCUACGGGAGGCAGCAGUGAGGAAUAUUGGUCAAUGGGCGAGAGCCUGAACCAGCCAAGUAGCGUGCAGGAUGACGGCCCUAUGGGUUGUAAACUGCUUUUAUGCGGGGAUAAAGUGAGGGACGUGUCCUUCAUUGCAGGUACCGCAUGAAUAAGGACCGGCUAAUUCCGUG
rnacentral:rRNA from 1 species